rnacentral:rRNA from 1 species
UACGUAGGUGGCAAGCGUUGUCCGGAUUUACUGGGCGUAAAGGGCGUGCAGGCGGUUUUUUAAGUCUAGGGUGAAAGCUCCCGGCUCAACUGGGAGAGGUCCUUGGAUACUGGAAAACUUGAGGGAUGCAGAGGAAAGUGGAAUUCCCGGUGUAGUGGUGAUAUGCGUAGAUAUCGGGAGGAACACCAGUGGCGAAGGCGGCUUUCUGGGCAUUUCCUGACGCUGAGACGCGAAAGCGUGGGGAGCGAACCGG